CCUACGGGCGGCAGCAGUGAGGAAUAUUGGUCAAUGGACGCAAGUCUGAACCAGCCAUGCCGCGUGCAGGAUGACGGCUCUCUGAGUUGUAAACUGCUUUUGUCCGGGGGUAAACGCAGAUACGUGAAUCUGUCUGAAUGUAUCGUACCAAUAAGAAUCGGCUAACUCCGUGCCAGCAGCCGCGGUAAUACGGAGGAUUCAAGCGUUAUCCGGAUUUAUUGGGUUUAAAGGGUGCGUAGGCGGUCUUUUAAGUUAGAGGUGAAAGCCCGAGGCUCAACGGCGGAAUUGCAGUUGAUACUGUUCGGCUAGAGUGUAGAUGGGGUAGGCGGAAUGUAUGGUGUAGCGGUGAAAUGCUUAGAGAUCAUGCAGAACACCGAUUGCGAAGGCAGCUUACCAGGCUACUACUGACGUUGAGGCACGAAAGCGUGGGGAGCAAACAGGAUUAGAUACCCGUGUAGUC
rnacentral:rRNA from 1 species